rnacentral:rRNA from 1 species
UACAGAGGUCUCAAGCGUUGUUCGGAAUCACUGGGCGUAAAGCGCACGUAGGCGGAUCGCUAAGUCAGGGGUGAAAUCCUGGAGCUCAACUCCAGAACUGCCUUUGAUACUGGCAAUCUCGAGUCCGGGAGAGGUGAGUGGAACUGCGAGUGUAGAGGUGAAAUUCGUAGAUAUUCGCAAGAACACCAGUGGCGAAGGCGGCUCACUGGCCCGGUACUGACGCUGAGGUGCGAAAGCGUGGGGAGCAAACAGG